AACGAACGCCGGCGGCAGGCUUAACACAUGCAAGUCGAACGCAUCGCAAGAUGAGUGGCAGACGGGUGAGUAACGCGUGGGAAUCUACCCAUCUCUGCGGAAUAGCUCUGGGAAACUGGAAUUAAUACCGCAUACGCCCUACGGGGGAAAGAUUUAUCGGGGAUGGAUGAGCCCGCGUUGGAUUAGCUAGUUGGUGGGGUAAAGGCCUACCAGGGCGACGAUCCAUAGCUGGUCUGAGAGGAUGAUCAGCCACAUUGGGACUGAGACACGGCCCAAACUCCUACGGGAGGCAGCAGUGGGGAAUAUUGGACAAUGGGCGCAAGCCUGAUCCAGCCAUGCCGCGUGAGUGAUGAAGGCCUUAGGGUUGUAAAGCUCUUUCACCGAUGAAGAUAAUGACGGUAGUCGGAGAAGAAGCCCCGGCUAACUUCGUGCCAGCCGCCGCCGUAAGAC
rnacentral:rRNA from 1 species